GGGAGCAGCCGCCUUAGGGAGAAAGUUCUAUGUUUAUGAGGCAGGAAAAACAAACGGGGCUCAUUUAGACUUGGUUAAAAAGUUUAAAGGCAUUGGACAAACUCAGGUGCAUCGUCCUGAGGAUUGUGACUAUCUCCUGAUAAUCUGUCCGGCUGUUUCACGAGUUGGAACGAACAUCAGCGAGGCCUUGGAAAGCAUGCCUGCUCCUAAACCAGCGAUUCUGGUGGUGAUGCAUC